CCGCACAAGCGGUGGAGCAUGUGGUUUAAUUCGACGCAACGCGAAGAACCUUACCAGGGCUUGACAUCCCCUGACCGCGUAUGAAAGUACGUUUUCACCCUCGGGUGACAGGGAGACAGGUGGUGCAUGGUUGUCGUCAGCUCGUGUCGUGAGAUGUUGGGUUAAGUCCCGCAACGAGCGCAACCCCUACGUUUAGUUGCUAACAGGUGAAGCUGAGCACUCUAGACGAACUGCCGUUGACAAAACGGAGGAAGGUGGGAUGACGUCAAAUCAUCAUGCCCCUUAUGUUCUGGGCUACACACGUGCUACAAUGGCCGGUACAGACGGAGGCGAAGCCGCGAGGCGGAGCAAAUCCGAAAAAGCCGGUCUCAGUUCGGAUUGCAGGCUGCAAUUCGCCUGCAUGAAGUCGGAAUCGCUAGUAAUCGCAGGUCAGCAUACUGCGGUGAAUACGUUCCCGGGCCUU
rnacentral:rRNA from 1 species